rnacentral:snRNA from 1 species
AUACCUACCUGGCAGGGGAGAUACCAUGGGUGGUUUUCCCAGGGCAAGAUUUAUCCACUGCAGUCCAGAUGUACUGACUCCUGCAAUUUCCCCCACAAGUGUUGGAAACUCAACUGCAUAAUUUGUGGUUGUGGGGGACUGUGUUUGUACUCUCCCUUG